AUUGAACGCUGGCGGCAUGCUUUACACAUGCAAGUAGGACGAGUGGCGAACGGGUGAGUACCAUAUCGGAACGUACCGAGUAAUGGGGGAUAACUAAUCGAAAGAUUAGCUAAUACGGCAAAUUAUUCGAGCGGCCGAUAGCUGAUUAGCUGGUGGGUGGGGUAAAGGCCGACCAGGGCGACGAUCAGUAGCGGGUAUGAGGUGAUGAUCCGCCACACUGGGACUGAGACACGUCCCAGACUCCUACGGGAGGCGGCAGUGGGGAAUUUUGGACAAUGGGCGCAAGCCUGAUCCAGCCAUCCCGCGUGUCUGAAGAAUGCCUUCGGGUUUUAAAGGACUUUUGUCAGGGAAGCGGUACCUGAAGAGUAAGCACCGGCUAACUACGUGCCAGCAGCCGCGGUAAUUC
rnacentral:rRNA from 1 species